rnacentral:misc_RNA from 1 species
AUGAGCCUGUGUUGAUGAGUGCAUCAGCAGACAACUCAAUUAAAAUGUGGAUUUUUGACACAAGUGAUGGAGAUCCUCGCCUAUUGCGCUUUCGAAGUGGACACAGUGCUCCUCCCCAUUGCAUAAGGUUCUAUGCAAAUGGGAGACACAUUCUAUCUGCUGGUCAGGAUCGUGCCUUCCGUCUUUUCUCCAUCAUCCAGGAUCAGCAAAGUCGAGAGCUUUCCCAGCGGCAUGUAUCUAAGCGCGCCAAGAAACUGAGAGUGAAGGAAGAAGAGUUGAAAUUGAACCCUGUUAUUGCAUUUGAUUGUGCUGAAAUUAGGGAGCGGGAUUCGUGCAAUGUGGUUACAUGUCAUAUGGAUACUGCACAGGCGUAUGUAUGGAGGCCUCAGAAUUUUGUUCUUGGAGAGCAUAUCCUGAAGCCUUGCCCAGACAAUCCAACACCUGUUAAGGCCUGUGCCAUUAGUGCAUGCGGCAAUUUUGCUGUACUAGGGACAGCAGGUGGUUGGAUAGAGAGGUUCAAUCUUCAAUCAGGGAUCAGCCGAGGCAGUUACCUAGAUAUGUCAGAAAGAAGAAGCUGUGCCCAUGAGGGGGAAGUGGUUGGAGUUGCUUGUGAUUCAACAAAUACCCUGAUGAUAAGUGCAGGAUACCAUGGAGAUGUAAAGG